UCGGGGCUUCAUCCUGGAGAUCAACAAUAGAUAGAGCCUCAAUUGGGGCCUUAGACAGGGACGACAACUCCACAAGACCAGGUGCAAGUAGCUUGAGCUUCAACCUGCUAUUCGAAGAGGUUGACGUCGAUGAAGGAGCUGCAAGUGACGUAGGACCAACAAUCCGGAGCGAGAGGAGGGGAGCACCCUGUGUACGAGAAGCACGGCGAAGAUGCUCAGCUAAAGUGAGAAGACCAGCAGCAAACCCAUUCUGUGUCUGGUUCAACGGCAGGGGAAAUUCAAGGGGAUGACGAAGACUCACUGAUCUCGCACCUUUGA
rnacentral:lncRNA from 1 species